rnacentral:rRNA from 1 species
ACCUUCUGGAGAAGCUCGAUGUCCUUAAUUGGGUGUCUUGCGGAACCAGGACCUUUACCUUGAAAAAAUUAAGAGUGUUUAAAGCAGGCUAUUUUGCUCGAAUACAUUAGCAUGGAAUAAUAGAAUAGGACGGCAUGGUUCUAUUUUGUUGGUUUCUAGGAUCACCGUAAUGAUUAAUAGGGAUAGUUGG